CCAGACUCCUACGGGAGGCAGCAGUGGGGAAUAUUGCACAAUGGGGGAAACCCUGAUGCAGCAACGCCGCGUGAGUGAAGAAGUAUUUCGGUAUGUAAAGCUCUAUCAGCAGGGAAGAAAAUGACGGUACCUGACUAAGAAGCCCCGGCUAACUACGUGCCAGCAGCCGCGGUAAUACGUAGGGGGCAAGCGUUAUCCGGAAUUACUGGGUGUAAAGGGAGCGCAGACGGCAGUGCAAGUCUGGAGUGAAAGCCCGUGGCUUAACUACGGGACUGCUCUGGAAACUGUGCAGCUAGAGUGCAGGAGAGGCAGGCGGAAUUCCUAGUGUAGCGGUGAAAUGCGUAGAUAUUAGGAAGAACACCAGUGGCGAAGGCGGCUUUCUGGACUGAAACUGACGCUGAGGCACGAAAGCGUGGGGAGCGAACAGGAUUAGAUACCCCCGUACA
rnacentral:rRNA from 1 species